ACAUAGCACAACUCUAUGGCUCUAUGUCUACUAGCCUCGUUCUCAACAUACCAUGGAGUUGUGCUAGGUUGAGAACGAGGCUAGCAGACAUAGAGCCAUGGAGUUGUGCUAUGUU
rnacentral:pre_miRNA from 1 species